rnacentral:rRNA from 1 species
UACGUAGGGCGCAAGCGUUAUCCGGAAUUAUUGGGCGUAAAGAGCUCGUAGGCGGUUUGUCGCGUCUGCCGUGAAAGUCCGGGGCUCAACCCUGGGCUUGCAGUGGAUACGGGCAGACUAGAGGUAGGUAGGGGAGAUUGGAAUUCCUAGUGUAGCGGUGAAAUGCGCAGAUAUCAGGAGGAACACCGGUGGCGAAGGCGGGUCUCUGGGCCACUACUGACGCUGAGAAGCGAAAGCAUGGGGAGCGAACAGG